rnacentral:rRNA from 1 species
UACAGAGGGGGCGAGCGUUGUUCGGAAUUACUGGGCGUAAAGGGCGCGUAGGCGGCCUUCUAAGUCGAACGUGAAAUCCCCGGGCUCAACCCGGGAACUGCGUCCGAUACUGGGAGGCUUGAAUCCGGGAGAGGGAUGUGGAAUUCCCGGUGUAGAGGUGAAAUUCGUAGAUAUCGGGAGGAACACCGGUGGCGAAGGCGGCGACCUGGGUGGAUACUGACGCUGAGGCGCGAAAGCGUGGGGAGCAAACAGG